rnacentral:lncRNA from 1 species
GCAAGAACAACACUUCCCGUAUCAAAUCCUCGUUCCAAGAUGCGUAGUGGAUGAUCGAGGCUCAGAUUAACCAACCCAAAGAAAGACGGUAUCACCACACUCAAUUGGACCCAAGAAUCUCACAAGAACAGACAGAAAACUGUUGCGAGGGAAAAGGCUGAAAACGGAGCAGAGAGGAGCCACAACAGAGAGCCACCGGAAUAGCACAACAGCCCACAACUAACACCGGAAAGGUGGUCAAUAAAACGCAGCAGAGCAAAGGCUAAAAGGAGAGACAGCUGCAAGUCAGAGACAAAAGCAGAGAAGGCAAC